CAAGUCUGGUGCCAGCAGCAACGAUAAUUCCAGCUCCAAUAGCGUAUAUUAAAGUUGUUGCAGUUAAAAAGCUCGUAGUUGAACCUUGGGCCUGGCUGGCCGGUCCGCCUCACCGCGUGUACUGGUCCGGCCGGGCCUUUCCUUCUGGGGAACCUCAUGCCCUUCACUGGGCGUGUUGGGGAACCAGGACUUUUACUUUGAAAAAAUUAGAGUGUUCAAAGCAGGCCUUUGCUCGAAUACAUUAGCAUGGAAUAAUAGAAUAGGACGUGUGGUUCUAUUUUGUUGGUUUCUAGGACCGCCGUAAUGAUUAAUAGGGAUAGUCGGGGGCAUCAGUAUUCAAUCGUCAGAGGUGAAAUUCUUGGAUUGAUUGAAGACUAACUACUGCGAAAGCAUUUGCCAAGGAUGUUUUCAUUAAUCAGUGAACGAAAGUUAGGGGAUCGAAGACGAUCAGAUACCGUCGUAGUCUUAACCAUAAACUAUGCCG
rnacentral:rRNA from 1 species